AGGAUCGGCCUGGGGUGCCGUCGCCGCCUUCCAUCGGGAACGCCGCGACGGCUGAGAUCACACCCAUCGAACCUGAUCCGGAUCAUGCCGGCGAAGGGAGCGGCCCGUCGGCACCGGC
rnacentral:ncRNA from 2 species